GCUUUGCUCGUGAGAAGUUUAAAUCCUUUGUGGCGGGCUUCGCCGCAAAGAUUGAAUCUUAUAGAGGGAAGAGCU
rnacentral:misc_RNA from 1 species